UAGAUUUUUAUUUGUGCAGGGAUGAAGAUGACUAUUCUGAUGACGAUGAGGAGGAAGAGGACGACGAAGACGAUGAUGAAGAACCUCUACCUGUUCACCUCCCAUCCCCUCAGUCCCAGCCAGAUCUCGAGCCUCGUAGCCGCAGAUGCCUGGUGGGGGAUCUGAGCGUCAGCGUCAUCCCUGAAGGAAACAACAGCAGCGAGGAGGAGGAAGACGAGGAAGAUCAACGGCCGGAGGAGAGCGACUCGGAUGGGCCUGUGCUAUACAAGGAUGACGAAUCAGAUGAGGAUGAUGACGACGACAGCCCACCAAGUGCUCUGGCCAGCAGGGUGAAGAGGAAGGACACAUUGGCGCUGAAGUUGAGCAGUCGGCCCUCUGCCCCAGACAGGCAGGCUCCUGAGAGGCAGGCCAAAGUAGAACACAUGGGUCUGUCGUGGCAGAGCAAGGAGCAGUGGGAGGCCAUCCGCACACAGAUUGGUACCCGCACUUACACGGCGAUUGAGCCAGAGACCUUCUGCUGAGGAGUUGAAACAGAGAAACAUUCUCCAGCCCAAAAAUGAAGCAGACAGACAAGCGGAGGUCCGGGAGAUCAAGCGCAGACUCACCAGAAAGUUGAGUGAACGACCGACUGUUGCCGAACUACAGGCUCGAAAAAUAUUACGUUUCCACGAGUACGUGGAGGUCACAUGCGCUCAGGACUAUGACCGCCGUGCUGACAAGCCAUGGACCAAACUCACUCCCGCAGACAAGGCUGCUAUUCGGAAAGAGCUCAACGAGUUUAAAAGCUCCGAAAUGGAAGUGCAUGAGGAAAGCAGAAUUUACACGAGAUUCCAUCGUCCUUAAUUGCAUCUUUUAACUGGAAAAUGAAGCACUUGAAGGCUGGUGGAUACUGGGAAGAAAUGGCUGUUUUUUUCGGGGGAGGGAGCCUCAGAGUUUCAGAGCUCCCUUCAGACUGCUUUUACUCUGAAUGUACUUCUUCAGAUGCACAGGGACGCCUGGAGCAUUUAGAAACAAAUCAGAAUAAACAAAACAGACCGUUUCUCAGUUGUCCAUCCACCAUUAUGUGGGACGGGUGACCUCUGGGGGACAGAUGCAGUAUUUCUCCUGGACUUUAGGGGACCCAUGUGCCAAGACAGAGAGGCGAUGAAGGACUUAUUAGAGGAUGUCACUUGUGCCAAUGGCAGAUAUUCCUCUCUCUACUCUCUGAAAGUUACAAAUAAUAGUAAUAAUAAUGAUGUGACUAAUAAAUAUAGUAAUACUACAGUAAGUGUUAGUUACUGCGCGUAGCGGGGCAGACAGAAGUACUGCGAGAAGGCCUGAGCCUGAAUGUUAUUGUGUAUUUGUGUAUGUUUGUAUAGGCUGCUGUAAUUUUUCUCUUAGUUUGACUCUUUGGAACGUUCUAAAUAUUAGAAACUUUAAGGCACAAGUUUUUUCUUUUUUCUUUCUAUUAUUCAUAACUUUGGCUUUGACCCUCUUUAUUCAAGACAGGGUUACUGAUUCCACCUUACUUUGUGAUCCUCACUGUUUGAGAGGUCAUAGAGAAGAAUAGAAGAUAGGAUCCGUUUUUUAGAUAGAAUGUAAGCGUUUCAUGUUUCACUAUUGGUUUGCAGAAAAAAACUGUGAUCUAUUAUCUUUUACUAUUUUGUUUUUAAUCAUGUCGCCAUCCAUAAAAAUGAGGUCCAGCUAUUUCAGUUUUAAGAAGUGUCCAAAUCAUGUUUACAAAAUCUUUUAUUUCUUAAUAAAAAGGAUUUCCUGAUUAUUUAUUGCCCAUUUAAAAGAAUGAAUUUAGUCCAGACACGCACUGAUACAGGUUUAAAAAUGAAGUUUUUGAUAAGUGUUGUUGACACUGAGGUUAUUGCGGCAGGAAUUCUUCAUUUUUUCAAAUUAUUUUGUCUUUUUUUUUUUUUUGGCCAGUAGGAUAAUAUGAAUUGCUCUGCUGUACAGAUCCAUUCUGUAGAUGAAGCUGACUGUUUCUGUAUAUCUUGUCUUCCUUUUAUUUUGGAGAAUAUUUUAAAUAUAUUGAAACUCAUAUAGGUUACUAUUUUUUUAAGCACAAAAUUAUUAGUGUAUUAUUCAACACUACAAUGUAAUGUAGCGUUGUAUAUUCUUGCUUUUUAAUUAUAUGUGAACUUAGAAACUGACAGUAAAUUUGCUGUUUUGAUGUAAACACUUCUAAAUCUAAAUUAAAAUGCUUA